rnacentral:rRNA from 3 species
ACCACGACUCUCGACAAUGGA